rnacentral:tRNA from 1 species
AACCUUUUGACUGACUGGAAAGUAGAUACCUUGAAAGUAUCCCAAAUUGGUUUAAUUCCUUUAAAGGUUU